rnacentral:rRNA from 1 species
GAUGAACGCUGGCGGCGUGCCUAAUACAUGCAAGUCGAGCGAACGGACGAGAAGCUUGCUUCUCUGAUGUUAGCGGCGGACGGGUGAGUAACACGUGGAUAACCUACCUAUAAGACUGGGAUAACUUCGGGAAACCGGAGCUAAUACCGGAUAAUAUUUUGAACCGCAUGGUUCAAAAGUGAAAGACGGUCUUGCUGUCACUUAUAGAUGGAUCCGCGCUGCAUUAGCUAGUUGGUAAGGUAACGGCUUACCAAGGCAACGAUGCAUAGCCGACCUGAGAGGGUGAUCGGCCACACUGGAACUGAGACACGGUUCAGACUCCUACGGGAGGCAGCAGUAGGGAAUCUUCCGCAAUGGGCGAAAGCCUGACGGAGCAACGCCGCGUGAGUGAUGAAGGUCUUCGGAUCGUAAAACUCUGUUAUUAGGGAAGAACAUAUAUGUAAGUAACUGUGCACAUCUUGACGGUACCUAAUCAGAAAGCCACGGCUAACUACGUGCCAGCAGCCGCGGUAAUACGUAGGUGGCAAGCGUUAUCCGGAAUUAUUGGGCGUAAAGCGCGCGUAGGCGGUUUUUUAAGUCUGAUGUGAAAGCCCACGGCUCAACCGUGGAGGGUCAUUGGAAACUGGAAAACUUGAGUGCAGAAGAGGAAAGUGGAAUUCCAUGUGUAGCGGUGAAAUGCGCAGAGAUAUGGAGGAACACCAGUGGCGAAGGCGACUUUCUGGUCUGUAACUGACGCUGAUGUGCGAAAGCGUGGGGAUCAAACAGGAUUAGAUACCCUGGUAGUCCACGCCGUAAACGAUGAGUGCUAAGUGUUAGGGGGUUUCCGCCCCUUAGUGCUGCAGCUAACGCAUUAAGCACUCCGCCUGGGGAGUACGACCGCAAGGUUGAAACUCAAAGGAAUUGACGGGGACCCGCACAAGCGGUGGAGCAUGUGGUUUAAUUCGAAGCAACGCGAAGAACCUUACCAAAUCUUGACAUCCUUUGACAACUCUAGAGAUAGAGCUUUCCCCUUCGGGGGACAAAGUGACAGGUGGUGCAUGGUUGUCGUCAGCUCGUGUCGUGAGAUGUUGGGUUAAGUCCCGCAACGAGCGCAACCCUUAAGCUUAGUUGCCAUCAUUAAGUUGGGCACUCUAAGUUGACUGCCGGUGACAAACCGGAGGAAGGUGGGGAUGACGUCAAAUCAUCAUGCCCCUUAUGAUUUGGGCUACACACGUGCUACAAUGGACAAUACAAAGGGCAGCGAAACCGCGAGGUCAAGCAAAUCCCAUAAAGUUGUUCUCAGUUCGGAUUGUAGUCUGCAACUCGACUACAUGAAGCUGGAAUCGCUAGUAAUCGUAGAUCAGCAUGCUACGGUGAAUACGUUCCCGGGUCU